rnacentral:rRNA from 1 species
CGAGCGGCGAACGGGUGAGUAACACGUGGGUGAUCUGCCCUGCUCUUCGGGAUAAGCCUGGGAAACUGGGUCUAAUACUGGAUAUGACCGCAUGUCGCAUGGUGUGUGGUGGAAAGCCUUGUGCGGAGUGGGAUGGGCCCGCGGCCUAUCAGCUUGUUGGUGGGGUAAUGGCCUACCAAGGCGACGACGGGUAGCCGGCCUGAGAGGGCGACCGGCCACACUGGGACUGAGACACGGCCCAG